rnacentral:rRNA from 1 species
AUUGAACGCUGGCGGAAUGCUUUACACAUGCAAGUCGAACGGCAGCACGGACUUCGGUCUGGUGGCGAGUGGCGAACGGGUGAGUAAUACAUCGGAACGUGCCCGGACGUGGGGGAUAACUACUCGAAAGAGUGGCUAAUACCGCAUACGAUCCAAGGAUGAAAGCGGGGGAUCGCAAGACCUCGCGCGUUUGGAGCGGCCGAUGGCAGAUUAGGUAGUUGGUGAGGUAAAGGCUUACCAAGCCCGCGAUCUGUAGCUGGUCUGAGAGGAUGAUCAGCCACACUGGGAUUGAGACACGGCCCAGACUCCUACGGGAGGCAGCAGUGGGGAAUUUUGGACAAUGGGCGAAAGCCUGAUCCAGCCAUUCCGCGUGCAGGAUGAAGGCCCUCGGGUUGUAAACUGCUUUUGUACGGAACGAAAAGCUCUUGCUAAUACCAGGAGUUCAUGACGGUACCGUAAGAAUAAGCACCGGCUAACUACGUGCCAGCAGCCGAC